GCCCGUGUGCCCUUCUAAAAUGUUUCAUGUGAAACAGUCUUAUCAAUACAGCCACCCCGGAGGGCAGGGCCUGUGUCUUACUCAUUUCUCUUUCCCUCACAGAGCUUAGAGCAGUGCUGACAAUGUGGUAAGUACCUCACAUGAAGGUAGAGAGAGAUGAAUUGUCUCAGCCUCAAGCCCUCCCUUUUCUGCACAACCAAGGUGUGAAUUCUUUGAUGACCAGCUGGAGUUAGGGGGCAUCACAGUGAAGCACAGAGCCCCCAUGGAAAUCAACAAAUAUCUAUCAUCAUCAUCAUCAUCCUUGAAUAUUCCUUAUCCCCAGAACCGUUAGGAGUGCUGAAGAGCCCUCUCCCCAUUCGUAGUUUGUUCAUGCUGGUGGUAGGGGCGGGAGAUGGAUGUCUGGGUUCAUGAGAAGCAGAACCUGAGACGAGGAUUUGGCACACACGAUUGAUUAGGGCAGUGCUCUCAGGACUGAGGGAAGCAGGCCCAGCCAGGAAGGAGGUCAGCAAGGAAGGAGAUUAUCUCGCUGGAGUCCAGUCUCAGCCUUGUCCUGGGGGGAGCCCUGGAGCACACGCAUGGCAAAAUCAGCUCCAACUUGGGGUAGCAGUAGAGUGACCAACUGUCCUGGUUUGCCUGGGACUGUCCCAGCUUUAGCAAUGAAAGUCCCUCAUACCAGGAAACCCCUCAGUUCUGGGCAAAUACUUACUGUAAGAGGCCCAGCUUCUGUAUCCCAAGUCACUAGUCAUUGGCGUUGGGCUGCUCCCCAGCAGGAGAGGAGCCUUUAAAGCUCCCAGGCCGGGAGGUGCUCCUUUACCCUGAGGGCAGGUCUCUGGAGAAGGGGAGAGGGUGCCCCAGCCCAGUAAAGGGGGUGGGGGAUCUCUAAUGGCAUCCACCACCCCAGACGAGCCCCCACAGAGCCUCUCUCUGCCUUGCCCUGCAUGGUUGGGAAGCAGCACUAAGCACAGGCCAUUCCACCGGCACCCCCCACCUCAACCCCCGCAGUUGGGGAUGGGCCCACAGAGCUCAGCCUCCCUCAGGACCCCGCCCUGGGCUGAUUCUGAGAACACCUAAUAGGUUUCCUACAAACCCUGUUGGCUUCCUGGUUGUUUGUGACUCAAUUAAAUUAACAAAUUGGUCUCUUUGCCCAGAGUCUUUCCACCGCCUGUAUUUCAGCAUAUGUCAGUCAGGGCGGCCCAGCGUCUCCAGAUGGCUUCGAGCUCCCUCUACAUAUCCGAUGCCAGCUCAUCACUGGAGAAGUGUGUGUGUGUGUGGGGAGAGUCCCAGAGACAGAGACAUAAAGCCACAGUGGGGAGAGACGGAAAUGAGGUAGGCAAGACAGAAAGAAUGAGAGGGAGGAAGAGGGAAGGGACAGAAGGCAGGAGAGCCUAGAUUCUUCCUCCUAGUCUAGAAGGACCCUCACCUUCGGGGCUGGGCCUGUGGCCAAGUGGUUAAGGUUCCACACUUUCUGCUUGGGAGGCCUGGGUUCACAGGUUCAGAUCCCAGAUGCGGCCCUACUCCACUCAUCAGCCAUGCUGUGGAGGCAUCCCACAUACAAAGUAGAGGAAGAUGGGCACAGAUGUUAGUUCAGGGCUAAUAUUCCUCAAAUGAAAAGAUAAAAAAAAUAAAAGGACCCUAACCUUCCUGCAGGGAGGGUCUCUCCUCCACGAGGUUGGUGGGGGGUGUCUGAAGAAGACUCUCUCAGCCUCGAGUUCUCUGGCAGACAGUGAAAUUGGUGGUUCUCAAAGUGUGUUCCCUGGACCAGCAGCUCAGCAUGACUUGGGAGCUUGUCAGAAGUGCAAAUUCUCCUGCCUCACCCCAGACCUCCUGAAUCAAAGACUGCGGGGUAGGGCCCAGCAUCUGUGUUUUAACAAGCCCUCCAGGUAUUUCUGCUGCACGCUCGAGUUUGAGAACCACACCCUGAAGUUGCAGUGCUUGGCCUCCAGUGCUGUGAACUGCUCUCAGUCCCCGCCACGGGGCUGCUGUCUUCCAAGAGGAGUGACGUGGGUGGUCUUGAGAGCUGGCACCAUCUUCAGAGUCACUCAAAUGAUACUUCUGUAGCCUUCAAUUACCUGUAGGAAUUGGGGGAACGGGAGGAAGUGUCAAGGAACAGCCCAGAGGAAGAAAAAAGACAACCUGGAGAAAAGGAUGCUUAGAAGGGCAAGGCUGCAGCUGGUGCGUGCAGCUCUUAAGUAGCAGGCUCUCAGCUCCUGCCAUGCAGGACGAUGAUGGAAAGGGGGCACUAAUGGGAAAGCAGUCUGACCCCAGCUUCAGGUGAAUUUGAUGGCGGGUCAAUUUGGGGAUAAUUGUGGUGUGCUGUCUGGAUUCUGCUGGGAGAGGGCAGAUGGGGACAGGAGCAGGGAUGGGUAGAGGGUAGAAGGGAGAGGAGUGGGGGACAGGGAGGGAGAGAGAUGCUGGGGAACAGGGGGCCCAGGCAGAGGCCCCUGCUCCAGGCCUGGAGUUUCCAGAAGACCAUCAUCAUUGUCCAGCCAUCCACAUUGUUCUUCUGGCUUCUGAGGCUGGAGACCAGGGGUGAGGAGCUUGGUGUGGCCCUCAAGGAGAGGCCUGUUCUCAUUUCAGCGGGUGUGGGUAUUAAGUUUGGUCCAUGUGCUGGCAGUGGGCAGGAUGGUCAGUGACCUCAAACUCAAAGUCUUCAGGCUCCGGGCAGAUAACAUAAGAGAGGAGCACAGCCUGGGAGGAAAUGCCAGGGCAGACACUGUCUCCUGGGGAUUGUGUGAACUGGAAAUACAGGCCCUGUCUAGACCGUUCAGCAGCCACCAGACUCCAGCCUGUUAGCACCCAGAAACGUCACUCCCUGCCACCAGGCUGAUCAAAUCCAGAUGGAGGUAUACAGCAGCAGGUCCUGCAAGAGAAGUUACAAGAAGCUCACAUACUGCCUGCGUGCCAGGGGCAGCUCUGUCUGGGCUGGCCGUGGGGAACGGGGCUUCGAAGGGUCCCAGACUCCAUUCUGCAGCGAUGCGGGGCAGCAAAGCAUUUUACAGUGAGGACCACCAUCGUCUGAUCCCUCUAAGAAUGGGUCUUGAAUUUCUGAUGCCAGUUUCUCCCUCAAGGGCCAGCGUAAUGCUGGGCGUCCUGCGUGCAUUCUUUCCAUAAGCCCCCUGCCUUCAGGAAUAUAAAAUGUUUAUCUUUUCUGCUUGACACAGCACAGCUGAGAACCAAAAAGUGAAAUAACCUGUGCUGAGUCAUCAGCCUGGAGGCGGGGGAUUGGAGGCAGGAAAAAUAAAUGUAGCAUCUCCCCCUGGGGGCUCCCGUCAAAGACUGUCGAAGGGAGGGUCCGACAGAUGUCCUCAAACAUCCUAAUAUUUAUUUCUACUUGGGAACAGCAGCAAAUCAACAAAGGCAUGUCAAGGACGCCCUCACCUUCCUCUAUGAGGCUCCAAGCCCUAUUUCUGAUUUUCUAAUUGGAGCGAGUGAAUUCAACUCUGGGGCUGCUUUGAACUCUCGUCUCUGCCAAUUAACCCUCCCUGGGAAGGCUGAAGCGCCUCUUAGAAGUGGCAGCCUGUCCAUUCAUCCACCCCACGAACAUAUUUUGAGCACUGACUAUGCGCCAAGCUCUGGUCUAGGUGCUGGAGACACGGCAGUGGACAAAACCGACGGGCUGAGUCCUUGACUGCAACUCCCUCCAGGACACGCACCAAGUCGACUGUGGGAAAGCCAGCUUUUCCCUAUAGGGCCUGCCAGGCACAGCCUUUGUUAGAGCCUAUGAUCCAGCCUGAAAGGGCACACGUAGGAUAUUGGCCUUAGUAUAUGCAAGUCGGAAAAAAACACGAAAAAAUCACAGCAACAAUUGCCACAACAAAGCUGAUCUGGGUGUUUCCAGGGCCCUUCUACUCCACCUAGAUGUGAAAGGAAAAGAAACAGUUAUCACUUGAUACUUGUAAAACACUUUUUUUAAGUUUCUAUUUUUAUUCAAAGUUAUACAUGUACAAUGUAAUUUUUAGAAAACCAAAUACUUCUAGUUUUGUUAUUAAAAGAAUAAAACAGCAGUCCAUUGCUUGCCACUCCUAAUUUCUCCUUCCCCAGAAGCAACCACUUCUAUUCUCUCUGGAGAUUAUUUUGGUAUUUCCAUUUAUGUCUCUGGACAAUAUCUCUGUAUUGUACUUUUUGCUUUUUCAGUUUUAGCCAUUAUCUAAUGACUUCCUCUCAUGGACCACAAAGACUCAGCUCUCUUUUCUCUCCGCUGCUCUGACCACAUAUGUGCUCCCUCCACAGCCCCCGGUCUCUCGAUCUAAUAACACUGUAAUUGGGUCAGAUCAGUAUUUCUUCUUUACGUUAUUAUGGCUGUGAAAGCUGUCUACAGCUGAGCCGUGUACUACCCUGUGGUUAAUUCUCUGUACUUUUUGUUUUCACUAGAAUAAUUAUCCCGGGUUUUUUUUGUUUGUGUCAUUGUCUCUGUUUCAUAAUUCAACUCCAGAUUCUUCCGCCAGUUGUCUAAGUCCUCUCCCAAGGGGAUCACAUGCCUCCCUUUUUCUGGCGAUUUAAUCUUCACGAAGAACUUCUCCCCAAGCCUUCCCACCUGGCCCGGGCUGGACUGGCUGCCCUCUGCCACUGCUGCCCAGCUCUGCUCCCGGCUUCUCCCUUCCCUGCCAUCUGAGGCUUCCCUUCUCCAUCCUUUCAGUCGGCUCUCAGGGUUCCUGCAUCCCUGUCUUCCCCUAGAUUUACCCCCUCAUCUUGGGGGAGCACAUUCUCUAGCAGCUUCCAGAAAACAGUGCAUGGGAAAUAAAUUCUUCAGACUUUGACUAUGUGAGAAUGUCUUUUUUUCUUCUGUAUUUAAUAUGUUUUAUUCUUGAAUAGCCACGACUAAUAUCAUCCAGAUAAGCCCUUAAUCAAGUAUUUGGGAAAAUGUAUAUUCAACAAAAUAUUUUUCAUUCUGUUAUCCAAUUACUGAAUGUUUCUGUUAUUUCAUUCCAUUUCUUCUUUUAUUUGACAUGUUUUUUCCCCAGCUUUAUUGAGAUAUGUUUGACAUAUAACAUUGUGUAAGUUUAAGUUGUACAAUGUGAUGAUUUAAUAUACAUGUAUUUUGCAAAAUGAUUACCACAGUAAGGUUAGUUAACGCAGAGAAUAUCUUGACUGAUUAUUUGGGCAGAGAAUUCUAGCAUGGGAACAACUUUCCUCCAGAAUUUUGAAGACUUUGCUCCAUUGCCUGCUUGCUUCCCAUGCUCAGGAAUCUCCUGCCUCCUGGUUCUUAAUUCCUUUACACCUGAUUUUUUCCCCGCCUUAGA
rnacentral:lncRNA from 1 species